GACAUUAAAAUCAGGUGACCAAAGCAGGAA
rnacentral:piRNA from 1 species